UCAACGGAGAGUUUGAUCCUGGCUCAGGACGAACGCUGGCGGCGUGCUUAACACAUGCAAGUCGAACGAGGCCUUGUGCCUAGUGGCGAACGGGUGAGUAACACGUGAGCAACCUGCCCCUGGCUCUGGGAUAGCCUCCGGAAACGGGGAUUAAUACCGGGUAGGACUCCUUGCCGCAUGGCGGGGGGUGGAUAGUUUUUUCGGCCAGGGUGGGGCUCGCGGCCUAUCAGCUUGUUGGGGGGGUGACGGCCCACCAAGGCGACGACGGGUAGCCGGCCUGAGAGGGCGGACGGCCACACUGGGACUGAGACACGGCCCAGACUCCUGCGGGAGGCAGCAGUGGGGAAUAUUGCGCAAUGGGCGGAAGCCUGACGCAGCAACGCCGCGUGCGGGAUGAAGGCCUUCGGGUUGUAAACCGCUUUCACCAGGGGCGAAGGGUUUCCUGACGGUACCUGGGGAAGAAGCGCCGGCUAACUACGUGCCAGCAGCCGCGGUAAUACGUAGGGCGCGAGCGUUGUCCGGAAUCAUUGGGCGUAAAGAGCUCGUAGGCGGCUGGUCGCGUCCGCCGUGAAAUCCCGGGGCUCAACCCCGGGCUGGCGGUGGAUACGGGCUGGCUGGAGGCAGGCAGGGGAGAACGGAAUUCCCGGUGUAGCGGUGAAAUGCGCAGAUAUCGGGAGGAACACCGGUGGCGAAGGCGGUUCUCUGGGCCUGUCCUGACGCUGAGGAGCGAAAGCGUGGGGAGCGAACAGGAUUAGAUACCCUGGUAGUCCACGCCGUAAACGUUGGGCGCUAGGUGUGGGCCCCUUCCACGGGGUCUGUGCCGCAGCUAACGCAUUAAGCGCCCCGCCUGGGGAGUACGGCCGCAAGGCUAAAACUCAAAGGAAUUGACGGGGGCCCGCACAAGCGGCGGAGCAUGUUGCUUAAUUCGACGCAAC
rnacentral:rRNA from 1 species